GACGUAGGGCGCGAGCGUUUGUCCGGAUUUAUUGGGCGUAAAGAGCUCGUAGGCGGCUUGUCGCAUCGUUCGUGAAAACCCGGGGCUCAACUCCGGGCUUGCGGGCGAUACGGGCAGGCUAGAGUUCGGUAGGGGAGACUGGAAUUCCUGGUGUAGCGGUGAAAUGCGCAGAUAUCAGGAGGAACACCGGUGGCGAAGGCGGGUCUCUGGGCCGAUACUGACGCUGAGGAGCGAAAGCGUGGGGAGCGAACAGG
rnacentral:rRNA from 1 species